rnacentral:lncRNA from 1 species
AAUUAGUUUCUGAUAAGUUACGGAAAGUAACUAGUAGAUAACUUUUCACAUAAAUAACUUAUGCAAACACAUGGUUGUUUCCCAUUGAUCUCUUACUGAAACAACUAUAAGAAACACCACAAAUGAAAAGUGAUGAGGUAACGUUUGAAGACAUAUCACCUCUGGAGCCCCUCAAAUCCACUACACUAAAUUGGAGCACACCAUGCUGAGAAAAAAUAAUGAAGGGAUUGGCUGCAAUUACACUAUGUGAUGUUCUCAUUCUAGCUGAAGACACUCAUGCUGAAUCGCAGAUGCAGCAAAGAGAGUAGGCGUCGUAUGGUCGCUCUGUAGCCAAUUCAUCGCCUCUCUUGAUGGCAUGGAUCCCUGCAGCCAAACCAAGGUGCAAUAAUUUCUCAAAUAGAGGUAACUGGUGACAGCUAAAACUUUAGAAAAUAAUUAAAUAUCACAAACAAAUAUAAUUUGAACGUUGUGAUUUAUACCAACAACUGCAGGCUGAUGCAUACGUAAGCGAAAUACCUACGGUUGGCAGCACAUGAGAAAUAGUACCUAGGCAUAAAAAAUGUGAAGCAAAAGUAUACCUUGUGAUUUCAUUAUAGAAGCCGAACCAUAUCCAUUAAUCAAGAAGUUAACCUUGCAAGCCAUAAUAACUAUUUGCCUACAUCAUAAAUUUUCAGAUGUUGAAAUCCCUAUCGAUAUUAAGAAGCACAUAAUACAUACAUGGAAGAUACAUCACACAACACAGGUUCAGUAUUAACAAAUCGAUUUGGUAAGCUAUACUGGAUGGGAAAGAAAGCAAAGCAAACCCAUGGCCUCCUUUUACCCCAAAAGUUAGCCAAAGAUGUUGGAAUGUGAGGAGUAAUAGAUAAGCUUGAUGAAGGGUUGCGUGAGAUUCACCACGAAACAAAUCCAGCACCACCACAUCCAUACAUUCUAGAAUUUGUACAUGACCCCGAUCCAUAUACCAAUCACUAAAAAAUAUGAAAAAGUAACGUCAUGUAAGUAAUACACAUAUGCAUCUCUUCCACAACAAAACACAUAGGCCUUCAGGCGAACAACUCAGGCGUGGGCAUGGAGAUCUGAACAAAUAAAUAACAGGACCAACUUCAUCUUCCUGCUCAUACAUACUUUGUGAUAGAGGCACUAUUUCGAUUGGGAUCAGGCAGCCUUAUCAGUACUUGGCAUCGGUAUGGCUCCAUCAGGGCUGCAAAACUACACCUGCGGGCCACAGCGUAACAACAAAUUUCAGAUGGGAUUUUGUGGAGGGGAACAACGAAAAGGAGAACAGGGCGGUCCUCACUAGGUUUCUUCUAGUGGUCGCUUUAGUUCCUGCGACUCUGCGAGGCCGUGACGCGAGCGGGAAUCGGGAGCACCAAACCAACCCAAAUCGAUGGUUGUCGAGCAGCGGCAGCCGCCCGCAGUGGCUGGACGGAGCUACAUGUGGUUGCGGCGUCCUAUUUGGCAUGGACUGGCGAGGACUGGAGGUGGCGUCGCGCAGUGCAGGCAGAUUUGAUAGGUAAGCCAAGAAGACGGAGCGGGGUGGCCGGACUCGAUGGGAAUUAAAGGAGGAGUAGUGGAAGUGGAAAGGGAAGGCGCAUCAGGCUGUGUUGGUGUGCGUUUUUUGGGAUGUGAGGAGCCGAGGAAGGUAGAGAAAGGUGGAUGGAUUGCGGGAGGACGGUUAACUCGUGAGCUGCAGGUCUAGCCACUCAUAGUCAAUCAAACGGGUGAACACAUUUGUAGUGACGUGGAGGAUUGUGAGGCCAGGAAAAUCAGCUAGUGGGGGCUCCUAUUUAGAUAUAGAAGAUUUCAUAUGGGAUUUUGUGGAGGGGAACAACGAGAAGGAGAACAGGGCGGUCCUCACUAGGUUUCUUCUAGUGGCUGCUUUAGUUCCUGUGACUCUGCGAGGCCGUGACGCGAGCGGGAAUCAGGAGCACCGAAACCAACCCAAAUCGAUGGUUGUCGAGCAGCGGCAGCUGCCCGCGGUGGCUGGACGCAGCUACAUGAGGUUGCGGCGUCCUAAUUGGCAUGGACUGGAGGAGGCGUCGCGCAGUGGAGGCAGAUUUGUUAGGUAAGCCAAGAAGACGGAGCGGGGUGGCCGGACUCGAUGGGAAUUAAAGGAGGAGUAGUGGAAGUGGAACGGGAAGGCGCAUCAGGCUGUGUUGGUGUGCAUUUUUUGGGAUGUGAGGAGCCGAGGAAGGUAGAGAAAGGUGGAUGGAUUGCGGGAGGACGGUCAACUCGUGAGCUGCAGAUUUAGCCACCCAUAGUCAAUCAAACGGGUGAACACAUUUGUAGUGACGUGGAGGAUUGUGAGGCCAGGAAAAUCAGCUAGUGGGGGGCUCCUAUUUAGAUAUAGAAGAUUUCAGAUGGGAUUUUGUGGAGGGGAACAACGAGAAGGAGAACAGGGAGGUCCUCACUAGGUUUCUUCUAGUGGCCGCUUUAGUUCCUGUGACUCUGCGAGGCCGUGACGCGAGCGGGAAUCGGGAGCACCGAAACCAACCCAAAUCGAUGGUUGUCGAGCAGCGGCAGCCGCCCGCGGUGGCUGGACGGAGCUACAUGUGGUUGCGGCGUCCUAUUUGGCAUGGACUGGCGAGCACUGGAGGAGGGGUCGCGCAGUGGAGGCAGAUUUGUUAGGUAAGCCAAGAAGACGGAGCGGGGUGGCCGGACUCGAUGGGAAUUAAAGGAGGAGUAGUGGAAGUGGAAUGGGAAGGCGCAUCAGACUGUGUUGGUGUGCGUUUUUUGGGAUGUGAGGAGCCGAGGAAGGUAGAGAAAGGUGGAUGGAUUGCGGGAGGACGGUCAACUCGUGAGCUGCAGAUCUAGCCACCCAUAGUCAAUUAAACGGGUGAACACAUUUGUAGUGACGUGGAGGAUUGUGAGGCCAGGAAAAUCAGCUAGUGGGGGGCUCCUAUUUAGAUAUAGAAGAUUUCAGAUGGGAUUUUGUGGAGGGGAACAACGAGAAGGAGAACAGGGAGGUCCUCACUAGGUUUCUUCGAGUGGCCGCUUUAGUUCCUGUGACUCUGCGAGGCCGUGACGCGAGCGGGAAUCAGGAGCACCGAAACCAACCCAAAUCGAUGGCUGUCGAGCAGCGGCAGCCGCCCGCGGUGGCUGGACGGAGCUACAGGUGGUUGCAGCGUCCUGUUUGGCAUGGACUGGCGAGGACUGGAGGAGGCGUCGCGCAGUGGAGGCAGAUUUGUUAGGUAAGCCAAGAAGACAGAGCGGGGUGGCCGGACUCGAUGGGAAUUAAAGGAGGAGUAGUGGAAGUGGAACGGGAAGGCGCAUCAGGUUGUGUUGGUGUGCGUUUUUUGGGAUGUGAGGAGCCGAGGAAGGUAGAGAAAGGUGGAUGGAUUGCGGGAGGACGGUCAACUCGUGAGCUGCAGAUCUAGCCACCCAUAGUCAAUCAAACGGGUGAACACAUUUGUAGUGACGUGGAGGAUUGUGAGGCCAGGAAAAUCAGCUAGUGGGGGGCUCCUAUUUAGAUAUAGAACAUCAGCGAUUUGGCUCCCGAGCUCAGGCAUGAACACUAAAAUCAUUUACAAUACUAGAAUUUUUUUUAAAAAUCUGAUUUUUUUUUGUGCUUAAAGAUGAUUGAAUGUGUGAUGUUCGUGCUAAAUUUGAGAACGUUUGGAUAUCUGAGAAGCUCUCAGAAAAAAAAGACAAAAAUAGGGUCUGCAAAAAAGUUUACUGUCUUGUACUGUUUAGACCUGAUUUUGUCUUUUUUACCGAGAGCUGCUCAAUUGCCCAAAUGCUCCGAAAUUUGGCACAAACAUCACACACUCAUGCAUCUUUCACCAGAAAAACUCGGAUUCUUUUGAACUUUUUACUAUUUUUUAAAUUUUACUAUUCACUGGGUACAUCUAAGCUCGGGUUCUGGAUUAAAUUAUCGAAUACUUGUAUGUUAUGGUAGAAUUUUUUAGGUGCUUUGGAAACACAAAAAUUGUGUAACAAAAACAAUAUUAGAGCGUCUACAGCCGGGCAUAGCAAAUAUGACCCCUUAAACGCCAGCAGACGCGCCCAGUCAGUGAUCGGGCGGUCCGUUUUGAGCCCCUGUUUGUCCGGCCCGCGCAACCACACUCCUCAUUUUCUUCCUCAUAUGUCCGGUCACUUGUAUAUGAUUGGUGCAGAUGAAAAGAGAGAAAGAAAAUAAUGAAUAAAGAAAGAGAAAAGGUGAUCCGGGAUGGGGCCGCGUCCUACGUGACAGACAGACUGGACGCUCCAGGGCACAUCCGCGAGCCCUCACAUUCGGCCUACAUUUGAGAUAGAUAUGAGGGUUCGCGGGCAGGCCAAACGUAUAGGGAUGAUAUGAGGAAUACGGUUUGGUCACGUUUUUCCUUCUCUCUGUCCGGUCAUUGACCGAGCGUGUCCACACACAUAUGAGAAGUGGUUUGAGGCGCCCGGCUGUAGAUGUUCUUAAUGUUUGGUGAAAACAUUUGCCUCAUAAAACAAAUCGUGUGGAUGCACCAGCAAGAAUAUACAUUUAGGUCGAAAAUGUCAAAUGAAGACCGAGCUUCAUGGAGGCCUUUAUUUGAAAACAUCAAAAUUCAAACUUUUCAGUUUCUAAAAAUUCUAAAAAUAAAUACAAAUAUACCUAGAUACAUAAUGUACAUGUGUGCAAAUUUUCAGGUCGAAAUACAUUAAAACUGAGCUACACAAAAAAGACAAAUUUGAGGCUUUUUAGCAUAUGUACUGUUCAUCUUUAAAGUCCAUGUUUUUUUUUGUGCAGCUCACAAUUCAAGGUAUUUCAUCCUGAAAUUUUUCACACGUACACUUUACAUCCUUACAUGCAUGUGUAUAUUUUUUCAGAUUUUUUUUGAAUCCAAAAUUUAUGAAUUUUGAAUUUUUUGAAAUAAAGGGUGCUAUGGAGCUCGGUCUCCAAAAUGCCCUACUCCAUUUAGGUUUACUAUUAGACGGUCUCCAGCCAAGGAGGAAGCUAGCGAUCACUCUCAAACCGGCUGUAUUUUCCAUUUCUUGAAGCCACGUAUAUAUGUUCAAACUUCCCUUUUUGGUAGCUUUUUCAGAUGUUGUGUGCCAACUUUCAGCAAAUCGCUACCUCAACUUUUGGAAUUUUAAAGUUUUGAAAUUUCAUAACAAAAUAUUCAAACUAUGAGAAAAAAAUGUAAACAUUUAGUUUUUUUUUUAAAAACUUUAGCUAUUUUAGAGAAGCUAGGAUAGAGCGCAUAUGGAUGGCCUACCUUCAAAAUUCACAUGCGAGAGAGAAAAGGCGAAUGGAGAAAACACAUGGGUGGGAUCCCAUCAUGUCUUGCCUGCAUGUUCCCGUGGCGAUCGACUGUAGGCACGAUCACCUGGCAAUCUCGUAUACAUUGACAGAAUUUCAUUUGAUACCUAGCCAACAUCGUUGCAUGCACUGAAUCAGAUGUUCUUGGGUGAGCUCCACACGCACGACGAGUUCUCCAUCGUCAAAAGGCAACCACUGAUAUAGAGAGGUGCCUUGUCCCGACUGCAUCACACUUCAAGGUGGACGCGGUCCGGGCCGGUCCGGUCCCUGACCGAGCCUCCUUUGGACCGGCCGAAACUGGCCCGGACCGGACCGGACCGAGGUCAGAUGCGGUCCUGUUUCCUAGGACCGGACCGCCUGUGCCUCAGCUCGGUGCGGACCGAAGGGACCGACUGGACCGAAUACAGUUUGUGCGUGGGAGUGCGCUGGGAGCCUUUUUAGAACUCUUUUGACAACAAAUUUGAACAUACAGAUUAUUAGGUUGCAAAAGAGGUUCAAAUGGACGAAAAAUAAGCAAGUUUGCAACAAAAACAACACAGGAAUGUGUCCAACUGAAGAAAGUUCAGAGAGACAGAGACUGAACAAAUACCAACUGCAGAAAGUUCAGAGGGACUGAACAAUUAUCAACUGAAAAAAUUUCAGAGAGAAGGAACAAGUACAAACUGUAGGCGAGGACAUGCAGGACUCCAGGUGCACGUGCAGCAGCUCCGUCCCCUGCGUCCUCCAGCUUCGUGCUCGACGGUGGCUUACAGGCGAGGAGGUGGUCGAAGACGGGUAGGUGGAGACAGCGACGGUCGACGACGACGUGCAAACGUGACGCUCCCUCCAUGGCUCCUCCACUCCUCCUUUCAUUGCG